rnacentral:rRNA from 1 species
GACGAACGCUGGCGGCGUGCUUAACACAUGCAAGUCGAACGAAGUGGCGCACGGGUGAGUAACGUGUAAUCAACCUGCCCUUCCGAGGGGGACACAAGUUGGAAACGACUGCUAAUCCCGCAUACUGAAGGAGGGGAUUGCGUCGGAUUAGCUAGUUGGAUGGAUAACGGCCCACCAAGGCGAUGAUCAGUCGCCGGUCUGAGAGGGUGAACGGCAACAUUGGGACGGAGACACGGCCCAGACUCCUACGGGAGGCAGCAGUAGGGAAUCUUCCGCAAUGGACGAAAGUCUGACGGAGCAACGCCGCGGGAGUGAUGACGGCCUUCGGGUUGUAAAGCUCUGUUAAUCGGGACGCGGUACCUGAAUAGAAAGCAACGGCUAACUACGUGCCAGCAGCCGCGGUAAUUC